CCCGAGCUGUUCACGUACGGGGCCCGUUCACGUCCGCUUCGGCGGCUGGAUGCAAGGGCCCGCGAUGGACUGCCGGGAGUGGAGGAUCCGCUAUG
rnacentral:ncRNA from 1 species